UGUAAGCGUAUACCAAAGUUGUUGCAGUUAAAACGCUCGUAGUCGGAAUUUGGCAGUUCCGGAUGUGUGCACGUCGUGUGCGCACUUCGCGGGGAUUGCUUUGUGGUCUUGCGUAGGAUGAGGCACUUUUAUUAGUGAACGUCCUCACGCAACCACUUUUUACUGUGAGAAAAUCAGAGUGCUCAAAGCAGGCAUUUGCCGUGAAUGUAUUAGCAUGGAAUAAUAGAAUAGGACUUGGUUCUAUUUUGUUGGUUUGUUGGGACUGAGUAAUGAUUAAGAGGGACAGUUGGGGGCAUUUGUAUUUCGGUGCUAGAGGUGAAAUUCUUAGAUUACCGAAAGACAAACUGCUGCGAAAGCGUCUGCCAAGGAUGUUUUCAUUGA
rnacentral:rRNA from 1 species